ACUUCGCUGCUAGCUAGAAUGAGAAAUAAGGUUUAUGGCUACAGUAAGCUAAAAUUUUUUCUUCGUCUGGCUGCCUGUCGCUUGGUAGCAUAAACUCUUUCUAACGUAAUUAGACCGUUUUGUGACUCUUUUACAGACGCAGUCUUUGCAUUCUAGCAAGCUGGUUAAUCCUUAAAUUACCAAAAGCUUUGGCAUACCAGACUGAGACUAACGGGCAACAGCGGUGAUUCAGCGUGCUAGCUAGUGAGAAAAAUCUUGAGAGCCUCCACAUCCAGCCUAACAUCCAUUGAUGUUAGCCUAUGAGUAUAGCCUUCGCAUAUCGCCAGCGUUGUUAAUCGCCGGGUUUCUAUCUACCAAGAUGUGCGGGAUGUCGGGAUGACAGGAAGAUGGCAAACGGGGCUGGAAUUGCAUGCUUAAAGUGCCGGUACUGGUGGUUAGCUCGAUCACAAUGGCAAAAAAAGAAACAGAAGAAGAAGAAGAAACAAGAUCCAGGCCGGAGAAGUCCAGCAGAACACAAACCAUGGUCAGUGAGGGAGAAGCUGUGUUUGGCCACAUCUGUCAUGAAGAGUGGGGACCAGAACUGGGUAUCGGUCAGUCGUGCCAUAAAACCAUUUGCAGAACCUGGGCGACCACCUGACUGGUUCUCUCAAAAGCACUGUGCCUCCAAAUACUCAGAGCUCCUGGAAGCGACAGAGGCCCCAAAGCGGAAGCGCGGUGAGAAAGGUGAGGUGGUGGAGACAGUGGAGGAUGUGAUAGUUCGCAGACUGACAGCUGAGAGGAUCGAGGAACUAAAGAAGCUGAUCAAAGAAACGCAGGAGAAGCACAGGAAGCUGAAGAGAGAGGCUGAACUGAUUCAAGCGGGACAUCUGGAUUCCAAACUGAAAGAGCUAUGGGAGGAAAUUCUGCAGAAGAAGAAACUGGAGGAGGAGGAAGCAGAGACGAAAAGAAAAAACACAGAUGCUGCUUAUCAAGCCAGACAGGUGGCAAAGAACACACCCAAGCGGAUACCCAGUGUCACCAUGCAUUCGCCCUCAGGCUGUAGCUCCCCAAGCCAGGAGUUCUCCCCAGGUGACCAACUCGAGUGCUUGACACUGGAUCUUACAUCUACAAAGAAUGCUUCUGGAACAGCCAGGCUAAUGACAUUUACUGAGCCUUCUGGUAAUGAUGACAUCAACCACGGGUCCCUGCUAGAGGACCCCACCCAAAAGAAGUUACUGUGUCAGAAAGCCACACCACCACCAUCUCCCCUCCUGUCAGAGUUACUGAAGAAAGGCAGUAUAUUGGCCACAAAUUCCAGAUUGAUUGGAGAUGGUGACGUGUCCACAGGUAAUGUGUCAGGAGCACAUGACUUGCAGCUGGCUCCACCUUGUCAGCCUCUCUCUCAGGCAGCAGGUGCCCCGAUGUUGUCCCGUCUCCUGGAAGCAGGCCCCGCCCAGUUUUCCCCUCCAUUAGGUUUUAUGGUCAGUGCAGAUUCUGCCUCCAGCGUUCCUCUCUCUGCCACCACUCCUGUUCCUGCUGAAUCAAACAUCUCAGCAAGUGCAGAGGUAAAUGUGAUGGUGCCAUCUGUGGCUCCUGGAUGCCAGCCUGUCUCCUCUAUGGUAGAAGAUAAGGUGUCAGAGCUCAGUGAGGACGAUGUGACUGUGUCAUACAUGGGAGAUGAGCUGGACCUGAAGACAGUGGGGGACAUCAUUGCCAUCAUUGAAGAGAAGGUUCUAAAAGCUGAUGAAGCUGCUGAUGCUUUGGAUGCAGCUGCAGUUGAGGCUGCUCUGUCCCUUUGUGAAGAAAAUGGCCACGCUCUGUCUGCUGCCUGGGAUUCUGGGCCUUUCCAGCCUCAUGAGCCACACAACCCCACAGUGCCCACUGGGGCUAUACAGUCUUCAUCUCUUCACUGUAGCUUGGAGGAGAGGACAGAAGCUUCACUCUCUUCUUUUCGCAACAGUCAAGAUAACCAUCUUGCAGGAUUUCCUGUGGGACUGAGGAGCAUUCCUCCCUCUUCCUCAUCUGGAUGCGACUCAAAGAUUUUGGAGCACUACCGCAGUGGAACGCCUCCACAGUCUGCAGCAGUGAGAGAGACCGGAGAGGCGGUGCACUCAAAAACCCAAAUGUCAUCCGUAAAAUGUGAACGUGAGAAGUGGGCACAGCAAAUCCCUGAAAAAAUCCACGGAGACUCGGUAUUAGAAGAUAACCCACUGACAGAAAGGCAUCCAAAGGAGACAAAGAGGGAGGACACAAUAACUGUUGGGGGAGGAGAGAAGGCCUCGGGGACUAACCUGCAAAACAAAGUUAAUGGGCCAGAGGUGUGUGGAGAAGAAGUGGGUGAUGGGGUGGAAGAAUUCCUAUCAGAGCCAGACGGCGAAACUGAGCUAGAACCGGCGGCCAGUGAGAGUGAGGAUGGAUACAGCCUCCAUACGGCUUCCUCUUCACUGCAGCUCCAUACAACUGCAGACUCCAUCCCCAGCAGUCCAGCUUCUUCGCAGUUUUCUGUGUGCAGUGAGGAUCUGGAGGCUCUACAGGCUCACAAAAUCUGGAAGAAAGCCAUUAUGCUUGUGUGGCGAGCAGCAGCCAAUCACAGGUAUGCAAAUGUCUUCCUUCAGCCAGUAACAGAAGAGAUUGCACCUGGAUACCACAGUAUUGUGCACAGGCCCAUGGACCUGGCAACCAUAAAGAAGAACAUCGAGAACGGUCUGAUACGGACCACUGCCGAGUUCCAGAGGGACAUCAUGCUGAUGUUUCAGAACGCAGUCAUGUACAACAGCCUGGACCACGACGUGUACCACAUGGCUCUGGAGAUGCAGCGUGACGUCCUGGAGCAGAUCCAACAGUUUCUAGCUACCCAGCUCAUCAUGGAGACGUCAGAAUCUGGUAUCAGCGCCAAGAGCCUGAGAGGCCGUGAGAGCACGCGCAAACAGGACUCUACUGACAAGGUGCUUCACUAGAGUUUUGACAAAAGCACAGUACAGAAGAAGAGAAAAGGGACACUGUGUCCAUGUCUUCCCCUGCCUUCCUUCUUUCUCUUUUUGAUGGAGGCACCAGAGGGCGCCGUAGUGCCAUAGAAGCUGACCUCAAAAUGAAGAAAUGAAACCAUCAGUAUGAUAUUGUACCAGUAUGGUGUCCCUGAGAUAAAGUGAAAAGACUGAUCUCAUUGUCUCUCAGUUGCACAGAUUGUGGCUCUGCGUAUGGUGCAGUGUAACCUUUGCUUGCACUCUAGAUUAAAAGGAUAGACUGCAGUGUGGAGAUGCUAAUUUGUUCUGAGACAGCCAUACAGUCGUGGAUUACAUAAAGUAUAAUCCCAGAUUAGAGUGGGAGCAUCCUGAAAGACCAUGUCAGACCUUUCAUAGAUAUAGCUGCACAUCACUCAGACGUAACCUGCUCUGAAGUUCAUGGGGAUGUAGAGAUGUUUUAAAAAAAAUGCUCCUAUUAUACAGUUGGGCUGAAAAUUGAAUUAACUGGGCUUGAAGUUGAUCCCUAGAUUAGCGUCCAGAGGGCAAAAAGUCUGGCCAGAGGGGCAUGUUGAUUUCAAACAGAAGUGUUUUCACUGCAGGUGUAAAACAAAUUUUAAUCUAAUUUUAAGACUUUGAUAUCUUUUUUUUUUUUAGCAUUACUGUAAUGUUUGUGUUGGAUUUAUUUUAUCAAUGUGACACUUCUGUGAAACAGUACCUACAUGCUUAUUCUACUACAUACUCAGUGCUUUUGAUUAAGUGUUACAUUUCUAAACUGUUGUUUACUUUAAAGUCUGUUAAAAAAAAAAAGCUGUUACGUUAUACUUGAAUUUGCACAAAACGUUUCCACUGUGCCAACCCAAAACCGACCACAGCGGUCACUGUUAGAGCCAAUCACAAACUCUCAUGCAAGCUAUGUGCGCACAAAUCGGUGAGAACAGUUGGCUUUUUUUGUUUUUGUCAGAGUGAAAUUCCCCUUUUUUGCUGCGAGGCUGAUGUUUCAUGCACCGUAAUUGAAUUUGGAAGCUUGUAGUAUUUUUCAGGACUGGCUUUAAGGAACACUAAUACUAAACCCUGUGCGCACACCGAAGGAGAUGCAGCGUUUUUCACAGCGUUCCCACUUGCUUUUCUUCAAUCAUGUUCAGUAUUAAUGACCCAAUGAAUAAAGCUUGUAACUUUUAUAGAACCCAAGCCAAGAUAUUUCCAGGUUUAGUAGCUCAUGAUGCUACUCUGUCCUCGCUCUUCCUUGUAAAUAUGCAAAAGCAGACAAAUGUUUGGUUUUUAUGUAAUUCAAAGUACGAGACGUUCUCAGUUUGUACAUUUGGUCUGCUUAACAAACAACUCGUCUUAGAUAAGCGUUUACAGUGCUUUGAGAAGAUUUUAAGACCCUGUCACUUUUUCCACACUUUUAAUUUUCAAGAUUAAAAAAAAAAACAAAAACCCAUCAAUAUACAAUAAAUUUCCCAUAACCAAGCAAAAGCAUGCCAGAUUUUUCCCCCCCAAAAUUUGUCUGAAAGUCUAAAUCACAAGUAUUUGAUUUACAAAAGCCUUUAGAUCUUUUACUCAGUGCUCUGCAGAAGUUUUGUUGAUAGCUUUAAAAGCUUUUUAUCUGUUUGGCUAAGUCUACAGACUUUGCACACCUGGAUAAAGGCAGGUUAUUCCAUUUUUCCAGGCAAAUCCUUUCAGGCUUUAUCAGAUUGGAUAACUGCCAUCUCUAGUUCUCUCUACCAGUGUCAUGAGCGUCACAUCUGGGUUCUGGCUCAGCCGCUCAAGGACAGUCAGUGGACUGAAGCAACUCUGGCUUUCCCAUCUGUGAAGAUUACGUCUGAAACUGUUGACCAUUGGGUGCUUGGUCACGACCUGGAUGAAGGCCCUUCUUGCUUGGCUUCUCUGUUUGGCUGUGGGGCGAACUCCAGGAAGAAUCUUAGAGUUUCUAAAAUGUUUCUAUUUCACAAGCGACAGCUCGAGAAACAGUUCGAUACCUUUGUCACUAUUUAAGCCUCGCCACAAUUUUAUCUAAAAACUACAGAGUUAUUUGAAUCCACUGACUUGGUUUUUAUCCUGACAUGGAGUGAACUGUGGGACCUUUUACUGUAUAUGCUUCUGUAUAAGGGUUAGAGUGAAGAAUGAGAGGAAAAAUACAGCAAUUCAAAGUUAAAUUACAAUGAAAUCAUUUGAAAAAAGUGAAAACAUCUGAAGACUUUUUGAGUCCAGUUUGAACAGUUUGCAUCACGGCUACAAUGCAAAUUAGGUUCAGACCCAGUAAACAGUGAAGCUGAAGCUCACCGUUUGAUAUUUUUUGUGUGAUAUAGUUUUGAAAUCCAUGAUUAUUAGUUAGAAAUUAAGAGCUGGUUCUUAAAUAGCAGCUUAACAUGAAGUGAUGCAUUCAAAGAGCCACCGUGAAAAAGAAACCAGACAGACCGAGAAGAUUUUCUGAUUAUUCUUUAAUUUUGUGGUAUUUUUGGCUGAAAGCUUAACUUUGCAGUUCUUACUCAAGGGGUAUGUCUGCACUGAUUAAUACCAAACCCUGACUCGUGUGUAUCACAGUAAAUAUAAUAUCAUUUACAUGUUUGUGAUUUCCAGUGUGGAUCUGAAUAUAUUCUGACAGUUGACAUUUAUAAUUUCAGCAGUCAUGAAGAUGUAUUAGCCAAAAAUUUAAUUUGCAACUAAUUUAAAAAAAAAAAAAAAAAAAAAAAAAAAAAAAAAAAAA